CCAUUUGCGGAGGAUUCCCCCUACUCCUAACGGAGGCAGCAGUAGGGAAUCUUCCGCAAUGGACGAAAGUCUGACGGAGCAACGCCGCGUGAGUGAUGAAGGUUUUCGGAUCGUAAAACUCUGUUGUUAGGGAAGAACAAGUACCGUUCGAAUAGGGCGGUACCUUGACGGUACCUAACCAGAAAGCCACGGCUAACUACGUGCCAGCAGCCGCGGUAAUACGUAGGUGGCAAGCGUUGUCCGGAAUUAUUGGGCGUAAAGCGCGCGCAGGCGGUUUCUUAAGUCUGAUGUGAAAGCCCCCGGCUCAACCGGGGAGGGUCAUUGGAAACUGGGGAACUUGAGUGCAGAAGAGGAGAGUGGAAUUCCACGUGUAGCGGUGAAAUGCGUAGAGAUGUGGAGGAACCACCAGUGGCGAAGGCGACUCUCUGGUCUGUAACUGACGCUGAGGCGCGAAAGCGUGGGGAGCGAACAGGAUUAGAUACCCUGGUAGUCCACGCCGUAAACGAUGAGUGCUAAGUGUUAGAGGGUUUCCGCCCUUUAGUGCUGCAGCAAACGCAUUAAGCACUCCGCCUGGGGAGUACGGUCGCAAGACUGAAACUCAAAGGAAUUGACGGGGGCCCGCACAAGCGGUGGAGCAUGUGGUUUAAUUCGAAGCAACGCGAAGAACCUUACCAGGUCUUGACAUCCUCUGACAACCCUAGAGAUAGGCUUCCCUU
rnacentral:rRNA from 2 species